AGAUUGAACGCUGGCGGAAUGCUUUACACAUGCAAGUCGAACGGCAGCACGGGGGCAACCCUGGUGGCGAGUGGCGCACGGGUGAGUAAUACAUCGGAACGUAUCCUAGAGUGGGGGAUAGCCCGGCGAAAGCCGGAUUAAUACCGCAUACGCUCGAAAGAGGAAAGUGGGGGAUCGUAAGACCUCACGCCCAAGGAGCGGCCGAUGCCGGAUUAGCUUGUUGGUGAGGUAAAAGCUCACCAAGGCGACGAUCCGUAGCUGGUCUGAGAGGACGACCAGCCACACUGGGACUGAGACACGGCCCAGACUCCUACGGGAGGCAGCAGUGGGGAAUUUUGGACAAUGGGGAACCUGAUCAGCCAUUCCGCGUGAGUGAAGAAGGCCUUCGGUUG
rnacentral:rRNA from 1 species